ensembl:lncRNA
AAGCAAGCGGCACCAUGAAGACCAAGGAGCUCUCCAAACAGAAAUCCAAGGACUCCGGCAGGAAAACAAAUUUCUGACGCACUGAGAGAAGAAGUUAAGGUGCUAAGGUGUGGGCAAGGACGUCCGGGUGGUAUCGGAUCACUGAGUGAAGAGGUGGUGCAGGUUGCUACCAUGCUAAGGACAUUUGCUGCUACUGGGCAAUCAGAUCCAAUAUAACACUUUUGCUGCGGCAUAUGGGAACAGUGGAUGAUCGAACUCUUGAGAUGGAUAACAAGAUGAAUACCUUGUUAGCCUAUCAACAGGCCAAUGGGAGCCAUUCAGCAGAACACUGAAAUCCAGGAUGCCAUGGACAAAGUGGUCCAGAUUCAAGUCACCCGUUACCUGAAAGGGGCCUCCGAUCAUGAAGGACUCUCUCUACAUUUGGCAAUCAUCUCUCUGCUUCCAAUUGUAUAAAAAAAGCCACAUGGCAGACCAAUCUGAACUCAUUUCUCGGCAUGUCCAGCUCAUCCAACACCUCAGCUAAUCAUGACUAGUGGGAAGGUUCCUGUAUUUUUCUAUGCUCGUAAUUUAGCAAUUGUGUUCAAAAUAUGCAUUUUGAUAAAACAAUAAAGAAAAUGAAUGCCUCACAUGUAGUAGUGAGGUUUGACAUUCAAACGGGUUUUAUUUU